GCUCGGGGUCCGCCCGCGGGCUGCAGUGCGAGCAGCGGCCGGCUCCCCUCCUCCCCCGCCCGCCGCCGCCGUGAUUGGGUGGAAGAUGGCGCUGGGCGGAUGGAAAUCCUAAUGACAGUCUCCAAAUUCGCCUCCAUCUGUACCAUGGGCGCCAAUGCUUCGGCAUUAGAGAAAGAGAUUGGUCCAGAACAGUUUCCAGUCAAUGAGCACUAUUUUGGAUUAGUCAAUUUUGGGAAUACCUGCUACUGCAAUUCAGUUCUUCAAGCACUUUAUUUUUGUCGUCCGUUUCAGGAAAAAGUUCUAGCCUACAAGAGUCAACCUAGGAAGAAGAAGAACCUUCUUACAUGCUUAGCAGAUCUCUUCCAUAGCAUAGCCACUCAGAAGAAAAAGGUUGGAGUAAUACCUCCUAAGAAGUUCAUAACAAGGUUACGGAAAGAAAAUGAGCUUUUUGACAACUACAUGCAACAAGAUGCCCAUGAAUUCUUAAAUUACCUGCUAAAUACAAUUGCUGAUAUUUUACAAGAAGAGAGAAAGCAGGAAAAACAAAAUGGUCGCUUACCUAAUGGUAAUAUUGAUAGUGAAAAUAACAACAGCACACCAGACCCAACGUGGGUUCAUGAGAUUUUUCAGGGAACAUUAACUAAUGAAACCAGAUGUCUUACUUGUGAAACUAUAAGCAGCAAAGAUGAAGAUUUUUUAGAUCUUUCUGUUGACGUGGAACAAAACACAUCAAUUACUCACUGCUUAAGGGGUUUUAGCAACACAGAAACUCUCUGCAGUGAAUACAAAUAUUACUGUGAAGAGUGUCGCAGCAAACAGGAAGCACACAAACGGAUGAAAGUUAAAAAACUGCCCAUGAUUCUAGCUCUACACCUGAAGAGAUUCAAAUAUAUGGAUCAGCUUCAUCGAUAUACAAAACUUUCUUACCGGGUAGUUUUGCCUUUAGAACUUCGUCUAUUUAACACUUCAGGCGAUGCAACCAAUCCAGACAGAAUGUAUGACCUUGUUGCUGUUGUGGUUCACUGUGGAAGUGGUCCCAAUCGAGGCCAUUAUAUUGCAAUAGUUAAAAGUCAUGAUUUUUGGUUGUUGUUCGAUGACGACAUUGUAGAAAAAAUAGAUGCACAAGCUAUUGAAGAAUUCUACGGGUUGACAUCAGACAUCUCAAAGAACUCUGAGUCUGGUUACAUCCUUUUCUACCAGUCUCGGGACUGAGGGGGAAUCACGAUGAAGAGAUACUUUCUGCCUCAUUUCUUCUCUGGUUAUUUUGGAAAGGAUCAAGCACUGUUUUUUCAAGAAAAGAGAAAUGCAGGAAGCUCAGGGGGCAGCAGCACACUUUGCACACAGUGAAGCAAAGACGAUGGAUAACAAGCCCUUCCGAUCAUGGUAGUUGAUUUAUUUGCUUAGGUAUCAUGCUGUACGUGCAGUUCCAUAUGACAAGGAAGUGAAAGCAGAGAUACCUGCUCCUCUUGUAAAACAGCCUUCCAGUUACUGACAGGCAUCUUCUCUUCAUUAAUUGCACCAGUAAUGAUUUGAGUUCCUUGGGGGUGCAGUAGAAGGAAUUGGAAUCUGUGCUAGCUUGUAUUGAUAAUUUAAGGAGAUGAUGCUGAACACGCUGCAUAAAUUCGUCUGUGUUCAGUUAUGUAUAAAAGCAUAUUUACUGGUCUUUUCAAGAGUAAACCAGAAAUACUUUUGGGCCCAACACUUGCAGUUGCCUUCCUGAUGUAAAAAACUAACAAAUGCUAGAUAAUCCAGUGUCAGGAAGACAAAUAUGUUUUGCUUCUCUGAAGAAGCUUAUAAUAAUAUACAGUAUAUGUAUAUGUAGGGAACAAUUGGUCAAAAGUGGCUUUUUGUUUCCCCAAGGGGAAAGACUGGCUUUGUAAUUAUAACUUUUUCCUUAUUUAUUUUACUUAAAACUGGUAGAGUCUAAGUAUUGUAUGAAGUGCCCAUGAUUCUGUCAGUAAAUUUGAGCACAUUUUUCUUAGUUUAUGUCAGUUUAACUAGUCCUUUUGUUUGUUCUAUUUUUAAGGUGAAUUUUAAAUUCUAUCUAAAAUUGGUAAGAUACCUUGAAAACUUGCAAUGAGAGGAGGUGAAUAUUCUUUUUCAGGAGGAACUGAUAUCUCUGGCUAAAUAUUUGUCCUUUUACUAUAGUUUAUAAGUCAGUUAUGUAUUGAGCUUUAAUUUCAGUAAAAUAAAAAACUAU